GCGAUCAUACCAGCACUAAUGCACCGGAUCCCUUCAGAACUCCGAAGUUAAGCGUGCUUGGGCGAGAGCAGUACUAGGAUGGGUGACCCCCUGGGAAGUCCUCGUGUUGCACCU
rnacentral:rRNA from 1 species